UACGGGGGGUGCAAGCGUUGUUCGGAUUUACUGGGCGUAAAGGGCGCGUAGGCGGCUCCGCAAGUCGACUGUGAAAUCUCCGGGCUUAACCCGGAAAGGUCAGCCGAUACUGCGGGGCUAGAGUGCAGAAGGGGCAACUGGAAUUCUCGGUGUAGCGGUGAAAUGCGUAGAUAUCGAGAGGAACACCUGCGGCGAAGGCGGGUUGCUGGGCUGACACUGACGCUGAUGCGCGAAAGCUAGGGGAGCGAACGGG
rnacentral:rRNA from 1 species